rnacentral:rRNA from 1 species
CCUACGGGAGGCAGCAGUGGGGAAUAUUGGACAAUGGGCGAAAGCCUGAUCCAGCCAUGCCGCGUGUGUGAAGAAGGCCUUCGGGUUGUAAAGCACUUUCAGUGGGGAAGAAAGCCUUGGGGCUAAUACCCUCGAGGAAGGACAUCACCCACAGAAGAAGCACCGGCUAACUCCGUGCCAGCAGCCGCGGUAAUACGGAGGGUGCGAGCGUUAAUCGGAAUUACUGGGCGUAAAGCGCGCGUAGGCGGUCUGAUAAGCCGGUUGUGAAAGCCCCGGGCUCAACCUGGGAACGGCAUCCGGAACUGUCAGGCUAGAGUGCAGGAGAGGAAGGUAGAAUUCCCGGUGUAGCGGUGAAAUGCGUAGAGAUCGGGAGGAAUACCAGUGGCGAAGGCGGCCUUCUGGACUGACACUGACGCUGAGGUGCGAAAGCGUGGGUAGCAAACAGGAUUAGAUACCUUGUAGUC